UCCUACGGGAGGCAGCAGUGGGGAAUAUUGCACAAUGGGCGCAAGCCUGAUGCAGCCAUGCCGCGUGUAUGAAGAAGGCCUUCGGGUUGUAAAGUACUUUCAGCAGUGAGGAAGGUGGAUAUGUUAAUAGCAUAUUCAUUUGACGUUAGCUGCAGAAGAAGCACCGGCUAACUCCGUGCCAGCAGCCGCGGUAAUACGGAGGGUGCGAGCGUUAAUCGGAAUUACUGGGCGUAAAGCGCAUGCAGGUGGUUUGUUAAGUCAGAUGUGAAAGCCCGGGGCUCAACCUCGGAAUUGCAUUUGAAACUGGCAAACUAGAGUACUGUAGAGGGGGUAGAAUUUCAGGUGUAGCGGUGAAAUGCGUAGAGAUCUGAAGGAAUACCGGUGGCGAAGGCGGCCCCCUGGACAGAUACUGACACUCAGAUGCGAAAGCGUGGGGAGCAAACAGGAUUAGAUACCCUGGUAG
rnacentral:rRNA from 1 species